rnacentral:rRNA from 1 species
AUUGAACGCUGGCGGCAUGCCUUACACAUGCAAGUCGAACGGUAACAGGUUAAGCUGACGAGUGGCGAACGGGUGAGUAAUGUAUCGGAACGUGCCCAGUCGUGGGGGAUAACUACUCGAAAGAGUGGCUAAUACCGCAUACGACCUGAGGGUGAAAGCGGGGGACCGUAAGGCCUCGCGCGAUUGGAGCGGCCGAUGUCAGAUUAGCUAGUUGGUGGGGUAAAGGCCUACCAAGGCAACGAUCUGUAGUUGGUCUGAGAGGACGACCAGCCACACUGGGACUGAGACACGGCCCAGACUCCUACGGGAGGCAGCAGUGGGGAAUUUUGGACAAUGGGCGCAAGCCUGAUCCAGCAAUGCCGCGUGCAGGAAGAAGGCCUUCGGGUUGUAAACUGCUUUUGUACGGAACGAAACGGUCCUGGUUAAUACCCGGGGCUAAUGACGGUACCGUAAGAAUAAGCACCGGCUAACUACGUGCCAGCCGCCGCGGUAAUAC